UAGACUCGUAGCAUAUAGCUCAGUAACACGUGGCCAAACUACCCUACAGACCGCGAUAACCUCGGGAAACUGAGGCCAAUAGCGGAUAUCACUCUCAUGCUGGAGUGCCGAGAGUGAGAAACGUUCCGGCGCUGUAGGAUGUGGCUGCGGCCGAUUAGGUAGAUGGUGGGGUAACGGCCCACCAUGCCGAUAAUCGGUACAGGUUGUGAGAGCAAGAGCCUGGAGACGGUAUCUGAGACAAGAUACCGGGCCCUACGGGGCGCAGCAGGCGCGAAACCUUUACACUGCACGACAGUGCGAUAGGGGGACUCCGAGUGUGAGGGCAUAUAGCCCUCGCUUUUCUGAACCGUAAGGUGGUUCAGGAACAAGGACUGGGCAAGACCGGUGCCAGCCGCCGCGGUAAUACCGGCAGUCCGAGUGAUGGCCGAUAUUAUUGGGCCUAAAGCGUCCGUAGCUUGCUGUGUAAGUCCAUUGGGAAAUCGACCAGCUCAACUGGUCGGCGUCCGGUGGAAACUACACAGCUUGGGGCCGAAAGACUCGACGGGUACGUCCGGGGUAGGAGUGAAAUCCUGUAAUCCUGGACGGACCACCAAUGGGGAAACCACGUUGAGAGACCGGACCCGACAGUGAGGGACGAAAGCCAGGGUCUCGAACCGGAUUAGAUACCCGGGUAGUCCUGGCUGUAAACAAUGCUCGCUAGGUAUGUCACGCGCCAUGAGCACGUGAUGUGCCGUAGUGAAGACGAUAAGCGAGCCGCCUGGGAAGUACGUCCGCAAGGAUGAAACUUAAAGGAAUUGGCGGGGGAGCACCACAACCGGAGGAGCCUGCGGUUUAAUUGGACUCAACGCCGGACAUCUCACCGGUCCCGACAGUAGUAAUGACGGUCAAGUUGACGACUUUACUCGACGCUACUGAGAGGAGGUGCAUGGCCGCCGUCAGCUCGUACCGUGAGGCGUCCUGUUAAGUCAGGCAACGA
rnacentral:rRNA from 1 species